GAUGAACGCUGGCGGCGUGCUUAACACAUGCAAGUCGAACGGUGAAGCAGGAGCUUGCUCUUGUGGAUCAGUGGCGAACGGGUGAGUAACACGUGAGCAACCUGCCCCUGACUCUGGGAUAAGCGCUGGAAACGGCGUCUAAUACUGGAUAUGUGAUGUGACCGCAUGGUCUGCAUCUGGAAAGAAUUUCGGUUGGGGAUGGGCUCGCGGCCUAUCAGCUUGUUGGUGAGGUAAUGGCUCACCAAGGCGUCGACGGGUAGCCGGCCUGAGAGGGUGACCGGCCACACUGGGACUGAGACACGGCCCAGACUCCUACGGGAGGCAGCAGUGGGGAAUAUUGCACAAUGGGCGGAAGCCUGAUGCAGCAACGCCGCGCGAGGGAUGACGGCCUUCGGGUUGUAAACCUCUUUUGGCAGGGAAGAAGCGAAAGCGACGGUACCUGCAGAAAAAGCACCGGCUAACUACGUGCCAGCAGCCGCGGUAA
rnacentral:rRNA from 1 species